ACGGGUGAGUAACACGUGGAUUAUCUGCCUCUUGGUUCGGAAUAACCCCGGGAAACUGGGGCUAAUACCGAAUGGUUCCUACGGGAUAAAGAUUUAUCGCCAAGAGAUGAGUCCGCGUCCGAUUAGCUGGUUGGUGGGGUAACGGCCUACCAAGGCGACGAUCGGUAGCUGGUCUGAGAGGACGAUCAGCCACACUGGGACUGAGACACGGCCCAGACUCCUACGGGAGGCAGCAGUGGGGAAUAUUGGACAAUGGGGGCAACCCUGAUCCAGCCAUGCCGCGUGAGUGAUGAAGGCCUUCGGGUUGUAAAGCUCUUUUGGCGGGGACGAUGAUGACGGUACCCGCAGAAUAAGCCCCGGCUAACUUCGUGCCAGCAGCCGCGGUAAGACGAAGGGGGCUAGCGUUGUUCGGAAUUACUGGGCGUAAAGCGCGUGUAGGCGGUUGUUCAAGUCGGGUGUGAAAGCCUUGAGCUCAACUCAAGAAAUGCACUCGAUACUGGAUGACUUGAGGACCGGAGAGGAUAGUGGAAUUCCCAGUGUAGUGGUGAAAUACGUAGA
rnacentral:rRNA from 1 species